AUGAAAAGGAGGAGAACCUCUUCCACUAUGUCGAAGAAUCAUGUCUGGCAGACGAAGUAGUAGUGGAAAGCUUGCCUGUCACACCAUGCAUCAUUGUAUGUGGAACCUCCUGCUAUGCCUCAAGGCAGUUCAUGCUAAGUGUAGACGGCAAGGUUGUGAAUGACCAAAUCCCAAACUUUGUUUCUGCCAUCUGUUUGAUGUUUGGAAGCUAUUACUGCUUCAAUAUCCACUAUCCUGUGGUUCUGGGCUCCACACUUGAGUUCCUUCAGAGGUGUUUCUUCCUGAUCAAUCCAGAGAAGGGCACAAAAGUUGAAACCAAG